rnacentral:rRNA from 1 species
GCUUAGCCCUAAACACAGAUAAUUACAUAAACAAAUUAUUUGCCAGAGUACUACCAGCAACAGCUUAAAACUCAAAGGACUGGCGGUGCUUUACAUCCUC